UACGUAGGGGGCGAGCGUUGUCCGGAUUUAUUGGGCGUAAAGAGCUCGUAGGCGGCUUGGCAAGUCGGGUGUGAAACCUCCAGGCUCAACCUGGAGACGCCACUCGAUACUGCCAUGGCUAGAGUCCGGUAGGGGACCACGGAAUUCCUGGUGUAGCGGUGAAAUGCGCAGAUAUCAGGAGGAACACCAAUGGCGAAGGCAGCUCGCUGGGACGUGACUGACGCUGAGACGCGAAAGCGUGGGGAGCAAACAGG
rnacentral:rRNA from 1 species